rnacentral:rRNA from 1 species
UUUUACGGAGAGUUUGAUCCUGGCUCAGGAUGAACGCUGGCGGCGUGCUUAACACAUGCAAGUCGAACGAUGAAGCCCAGCUUGCUGGGUGGAUUAGUGGCGAACGGGUGAGUAACACGUGAGUAACCUGCCCUUA